rnacentral:rRNA from 1 species
AGCAGUAGCCGCGGUAAUACGUAGGGUGCAAGCGUUAAUCGGAAUUACUGGGCGUAAAGCGUGCGCAGGCGGUUUUGUAAGUCUGUCGUGAAAUCCCCGGGCUCAACCUGGGAAUGGCGAUGGAGACUGCAAGGCUAGAAUCUGGCAGAGGGGGGUAGAAUUCCACGUGUAGCAGUGAAAUGCGUAGAUAUGUGGAGGAACACCGAUGGCGAAGGCAGCCCCCUGGGCUAAGAUUGACGCUCAUGCACGGAAGCGUGGGGAGCAAACAGGAUUAGAUACCCGCGUAGUCCCUGUCUCUUAUAC